CCUACGGGAGGCAGCAGUGGGGAAUAUUGGGCAAUGGAGGCAACUCUGACCCAGCAACGCCGCGUGAGUGAUGAAGGUCUUCGGAUUGUAAAACUCUUUAAGUGGGGACGAAGAAAGUGACUGUACCCACAGAAUAAGCCUCGGCUAACUACGUGCCAGCAGCCGCGGUAAUACGUAGGAGGCAAGCGUUAUCCGGAAUGACUGGGCGUAAAGGGUGAGUAGGGGGUUUGACAAGUUAGUAGCGUAAUUCCGGGGCUCAACUUCGGAACUACUACUAAAACUGUUGGGCUUGAGUGCGGGGGGGGUGAGUGGAAUUCUUGGGGUAGCGGGGGAAGGGGUAGAUAUUAGGAGGAACACCGGCGGAGAAGGCGAUUCACUGGACUAUAACUGA
rnacentral:rRNA from 1 species